rnacentral:rRNA from 1 species
GACGAACGCUGGCGGCGUGCCUAAUACAUGCAAGUCGAGCGGGUUGGUCCUUCGGGAUCAGCUAGCGGCGGACGGGUGAGUAACACGUAGGCAACCUGCCUGUAAGCCUGGGAUAACUACCGGAAACGGUAGCUAAGACCGGAUAACUGGUUCCGAUGCAUGUCGGGACUAUGAAACACGGCGCAAGCUGUGGCUUACGGAUGGGCCUGCGGCGCAUUAGCUAGUUGGUGGGGUAACGGCUCACCAAGGCGACGAUGCGUAGCCGACCUGAGAGGGUGAUCGGCCACACUGGGACUGAAACACGGCCCAGACUCCUACGGGAGGCAGCAGUAGGGAAUCUUCCGCAAUGGACGCAGGUCUGACGGAGCAACGCCGCGUGAGUGAUGAAGGUUUUCGGAUCGUAAAGCUCUGUUGCCAGGGAAGAACGCCUUGGAGAGUAACUGCUCUGAGGGUGACGGUACCUGAGAAGAAAGCCCCGGCUAACUACGUGCCAGCAGCCGCGGUAAUACGUAGGGGGCAAGCGUUGUCCGGAAUUAUUGGGCGUAAAGCGCGCGCAGGCGGUCUUUUAAGUCUGGUGUUUAAGCCCGGGGCUCAACCCCGGAUCGCACCGGAAACUGGGAGACUUGAGUGCAGGAGAGGAAAGCGGAAUUCCACGUGUAGCGGUGAAAUGCGUAGAGAUGUGGAGGAACACCAGUGGCGAAGGCGGCUUUCUGGACUGUAACUGACGCUGAGGCGCGAAAGCGUGGGGAGCAAACAGGAUUAGAUACCCUGGUAGUCCACGCCGUAAACGAUGAGUGCUAGGUGUUAGGGGUUUCGAUACCCUUGGUGCCGAAGUAAACACAAUAAGCACUCCGCCUGGGGAGUACGCUCGCAAGAGUG